rnacentral:lncRNA from 1 species
ACGGGGUUUCACCAUGUUGGCAAGGCUGGUCUCGAACUCCUAACCUCAAGCAAUCCGCCAGGCUUGGCCUCCCAAAGUGCUGGGAUUACAGGCACCUGUCUCCGCGUUCUGCAGCACAGCUGAGAUUUGCAUCUGAGUCUCCAGGUGGCUUCUCAGGGUUGACAGAACUGAGCACCGGAAAGGAGCACUUUACAUGGCAGCAGAAGGAGGUCAGCGCUCCCCCCACUUCUCCAGCGCCGCGUGCGGAGAGACAAAGAAAUUGAUUUUCCAAUCGAUGCUCUGAGCAAUGAUUAAAUGUUCUCUGCACAGCGGGCCUAAUGAGUCCCCAAGGGGCGUGCCGGCCCUUUAAUUAGAGACUCCCACGGGGGCCUGGGAUGGGGGACCCGCCUGGAGUGAGGGGGUCCAGUCAGGAGGAGGCCCCAUCCCCAGGGAUCGGUGGCCUGGGCCUCUGAGAGAUAGUGUCUGGGGGCCCCUCG